CUAAUGCCCAGCUAUGAUUAAACAGAUCUGAUGGCCAUAAUUCACUAUGCUUUGCAAGUGAUCAGAUGUCUGGUGCCACAUUCUGCAACUGCCUCUCUGACAGGCCUGUAAGUUUUCAGUUUAGUUUAAGUUCUAACUUCUCCUUCUUUAGCUAUAGUCCUAAGUAAGGAUGUGAGCAGGGCUCAGGGCUCUCAAGGAAACAUUUCUAGACCCCUUUAACAGAAUGACUCUUUCAUGUGUCCACCUCAGGGAUGAGCAACUGCUCCAUGACACCCAGGUCAUCUACAUCCUGGACUGGAAGUGUUGGACCUCCAGAUUCUGGGAUGGCCCUAAAUUUGAGAAGCACUGGAGAACAGCCAUCGAGGAUCCACCCCCACAACUUAAGAAGAUAGUCCUCUGAUCAAUCAGCUUGCUACCCUGGACCCUAGCCCUACAAUCAAGAAAGGAAGGCCUCUUCUGCUUCUGCCAGGUAUUUUACCAAUAUGGCCUUUCCCAUUAGCUCCAUUCUUCCCAUUCUUCUACAGACAGAAAACCAGGCCUAAUGAGUCCUCACUCUAACAUGGCAGAGCAGCACUAAACUGAGCAGGUGUGCUCUAAUACAUUGGACAAGGAGUAAGAGAGUGGAAGGCUGAGGGCAGGAUCAAGC
rnacentral:lncRNA from 1 species